rnacentral:rRNA from 1 species
GUAGGUGGCAAGCGUUGUCCGGAAUUAUUGGGCGUAAAGCGCGCGCAGGCGGUUCUUUAAGUCUGAUGUGAAAGCCCACGGCUCAACCGUGGAGGGUCAUUGGAAACUGGAGAACUUGAGUACAGAAGAGGAAAGCGGAAUUCCACGUGUAGCGGUGAAAUGCGUAGAGAUGUGGAGGAACACCAGUGGCGAAGGCGGCUUUCUGGUCUGUAACUGACGCUGAGGCGCGAAAGCGUGGGGGAGCAAACAGGAUUAGAUACCCUGGUAGUCCACGCCGUAAACGAUGAGUGCUAAGUGUUAGGGGGUUUCCGCCCUUAGUGCUGCAGCUAACGCAUUAAGCACUCCGCCUGGGAGUACGGCCGCAAGGCUGA